ensembl:misc_RNA predicted gene, 27913
AGAGCGCGUGCGGCCGCCGAGCACAUGGACCCGCUGGUCAAGCGGGCUCGGCAAGGCCAGGAUGAAGAGAAGCUGCGAACUUAGCACUCCCAGAGACCCCCGAGUGGAUAUCCGCGUGGAAAGGAUGUUGGCAGCCCCGGUGACCUCGGAGUCACGGCUGGAUCCACCCUCUU